rnacentral:rRNA from 1 species
UACGUAGGAGACGAGCGUUGUCCGGAAUUACUGGGCGUAAAGCGCGUGUAGGCGGAUGAGCAAGUCUGCUGUGAAAGCUCCUGGCUUAACCGGGAGUGGUCGGUGGAAACUGCUCGUCUGGAGGACGGUAGAGGUAGGUAGAAUUCCCGGUGUAGUGGUGAAAUGCGUAGAGAUCGGGAGGAAUACCUGUGGCGAAGGCGGCCUACUGGGCCGGACCUGACGCUGAGACGCGAAGGCGUGGG